GAUGAAGAACGCAGCGAAAUGCGAUACUUGGUGUGAAUUGCAGAAUCCCGUGAACCAUCGAGUCUUUGAACGCAAGUUGCACCCGAAGCCAUUAGGCCGAGGGCACGCCUGCCUGGGUGUCACACGUCGUUGCCCCCCCAUCUACUCCUUCGGGAUUGCGGGGGGCGGAUGAUGGCCUCCCGUGCGCCUCGUCGCGCGGUUGGCAUAAAUGCCAAGUCCUCGGCGACGCACGCCACGACAAUCGGUGGUUGCGAAACCUCGGUUGCCCGUCGUGUGCGGUCGUCGCGCAUCGAGGGCUCGAAAAAAUUGCCGGGCUCCGGCUCGGCUUUCAACGCGACCCCAGGUCAGGCGGGGUUACCCGCUGAAUUUAAGCAUAUCAAUAAGCGGAGGA
rnacentral:misc_RNA from 1 species